CUGCUGCCUCCCGUAGGAGUUUGGUCCGUGUCUCAGUACCAAUGUGGGGGACCUUCCUCUCAGAACCCCUAUCCAUCGUCGGUUUGGUGGGCCGUUACCCCGCCAACUGCCUAAUGGAACGCAUGCCUAUCUAUCAGCGAUGAAUCUUUAGCAAAUAUCCCCAUGCGGGGCCCCUGCUUCAUGCGGUAUUAGUCCGACUUUCGCCGGGUUAUCCCCCUCUGAUAGGUAAGUUGCAUACGCGUUACUCACCCGUGCGCCGGUCGCCGG
rnacentral:rRNA from 1 species